rnacentral:rRNA from 1 species
AUGAACGCUAGCGGGAGGCCUAAUACAUGCAAGUCGAACGGUAACAGGGCAGAACCUCGGUUCAGCCGCUGACGAGUGGCGCACGGGUGAGUAACGCGUACAUAACCUGCCUUCAAGAGAGGGAUAGCCCUGGGAAACCGGGAUUAAUACCUCAUAGUAUUGCUAAGUCGCAUGGCUGUGCAAUUAAAGUUUCGGCGCUUGAAGAUGGAUGUGCGUGCCAUUAGCUAGUUGGUAAGGUAACGGCUUACCAAGGCAACGAUGGCUAGGGGGCGUGAGAGCGUGACCCCCCACACGGGUACUGAGACACGGACCCGACUCCUACGGGAGGCAGCAGUAAGGAAUAUUGGACAAUGGAGGCAACUCUGAUCCAGCCAUCCCGCGUGCAGGAUGACUGCCCUAUGGGUUGUAAACUGCUUUUAUUUGGGAAGAAACCUGUUCAUUUACUGAACAGUUGACGGUACCUUAUGAAUAAGCACCGGCUAACUCCGUGCCAGCAGCCGCGGUAAUACGGAGGGUGCAAGCGUUAUCCGGAAUCACUGGGUUUAAAGGGAGCGUAGGCGGCAUGAUAAGUCAGAGGUGAAAGGCUGUAGCUUAACUAUGGAAUUGCCUUUGAUACUGUUGUGCUUGAAUCGAGUUGAGGUCAGCAGAAUGUGACAUGUAGCGGUGAAAUGCAUAGAUAUGUCAUAGAAUACCAAUUGUGAAGACAGCUGGCUGGACUUGUAUUGACGCUGAGGCUCGAAAGCGUGGGGAGCAAACAGGAUUAGAUACCCUGGUAGUCCACGCCCUAGACGAUGUUUACUCGAUGUUGGCUUUUAAAGUCAGCGUCCAAGGGAAACCAUUAAGUAAACCACCUGGGGAGUACGUCGG